CCUACGGGUGGCAGCAGUGGGGAAUAUUGCGCAAUGGGCGAAAGCCUGACGCAGCGACGCCGCGUGAGGGAUGAAGGUCUUCGGAUCGUAAACCUCUGUCAGCAGGGAAGAACGGUCACUGUGCUAAUCAGCAGUGAAUUGACGGUACCUGCAAAGGAAGCACCGGCUAACUCCGUGCCAGCAGCCGCGGUAAUACGGAGGGUGCGAGCGUUAAUCGGAAUUAGUGGGCGUAAAGGGGUCGUAGGUGGUAUGUCAAGUCCAGGGUGAAAUCCCCGGGCGUAACGUGGGAACUGCCUUUGAAACUGGCAAACUGGAGUGUGAGAGAGGAUAGUGGAAUUCCAGGUGUAGCAGUGAAAUGCGUAGAUAUCUGGAGGAACAUCAGUGGCGAAGGCGACUAUCUGGCACAUAACUGACGCUGAGGAGCGAAAGCGUGGGUAGCAAACAGGAUUAGAUACCCGAGUAGUC
rnacentral:rRNA from 1 species